UUUAAUGAAUGGAAAGGAUGAAUUGAUUGGAGACGUGAAUCGGUCUACCUGAUCUCGGCCGUAUGCCGCUACGUCAUUUCUUUUUCAGUCGUCUUCGUCGUCGUAAUUAUUUCAUAAUCAAGCAAUCACAGAGAUUAGCAGCUCUCUCUUAGCUCAAACUAAUUAUUCUUCAUCGCCGAUAAUAUAAAAACAACAAAAUUUCCUUCUAAGAAGACCUCGACCGCUCUCAUGGAUUCCCAAUCCCACCUGGAAUCUCAUUUUUCCCAAAUCUCAUAAACCCUAGAUUCAUAAAUUCUCGGGAUCAGAAAACAAUCCAGGAUCUCCUAUUUGCUUCCCUCUCUGCCUACUACCUCUCAGGAUUCAGGAAAGAAUACAACUCUCCUUCAAACUGUUGUUGUGUUCUACAUUUGAUUUUGGUGUGUCUUCGAAUUCCCAUGCCGACUAUGCACAGAUCUGGAGCUACCAUGGCGUGGAAUGUCUUCAAAUUCUGCACUGCUCUGCGGGGUCUGGGAUCCAUCAUGAUCUUGCUGGUUCUAGGGGUUGUCGGUGUCACUUACUACGCCGUCGUUUUGACCAAUUACGGACCGACUUUGUACGAUGGUGGCCUCGACUCCUGUACGACGGUGGCCUCGACUCCCUUGUAGCUCUCCUCGUCUUGAUCCCCUUCCAUUGUCUGGUAAGCUCUUCGGAUCCAACUCGCUGGAAAUUUUUGCUUCUUUUAAGCUUCUUCUAUUGCUUUGUACGAAUGUGGAUUUGUUUUUUUGGCUUCACAUGCUUUAGUGGAGUUUUAGGCACCUUGAAUAUGUAAAUAUCAGAACUUCUUAUAGAUUGUAGGCUUGGAAUAUGGUGCGGUGAAAUGAUCUUGCUUUAGACGACAAUGGGCUUUGUAGGAUUAGAGAAAAGUGAAGGUUUUCUUAAUAUGGAUGUAGGCCGAGAGUACUUGGCAGCUGAUCAAUGCAUAUUGGAACUGCUACUGAAAACUUUUGGUGAUGC
rnacentral:lncRNA from 1 species